CACACGGUGCAAUUAUUUGAUUCGACGUCAAAAUAGCAUUUCUCGAAAGUGCAAACAUCGUUCUUUUUGUAAAAGCAAGUUAUGUUUGGAACGAUGUGUAAUACCUGUGUUUUACCAUAACGCACGAGCGUAGAUUGAACAAGUGAAUUGAAGUGACUUAUACGUAUUCAGACACAUGAAAUAGCCUAGUGGUCCGUUCACACGAUUCUUACAAUGGCAUCUUCGACGGAUAUAAAGAAUACCUUAUCAAGUGAAUUGGAGGCAAACGAAUUACUGGAAGCAGUUCUAAAACAGAUGGAUGGCAUAAUAUCAGGCUUUUCCGGGUCUACUGCAAAAUGAAAUGAUUUUAAUUUAGAAGAAA